rnacentral:rRNA from 1 species
AUUGAACGCUGGCGGCAUGCUUUACACAUGCAAGUCGAACGGCAGCACGGGGGCAACCCUGGUGGCGAGUGGUGAACGGGUGAGUAAUAUAUCGGAACGUACCCGGAAAUGGGGGAUAACGUAGCGAAAGUUACGCUAAUACCGCAUAUGCCCUGAGGGGGAAAGCGGGGGAUUCGCAAGAACCUCGCGUUUUCGGAGCGGCCGAUAUCGGAUUAGCUAGUAGGUGAGGUAAAGGCUCACCUAGGCGACGAUCCGUAGCUGGUCUGAGAGGACGACCAGCCACACUGGAACUGAGACACGGUCCAGACUCCUACGGGAGGCAGCAGUGGGGAAUUUUGGACAAUGGGCGCAAGCCUGAUCCAGCCAUGCCGCGUGAGUGAAGAAGGCCUCGGGUUGUUAAAGGACUCUUUCUAGCCGGAAAGAAAACGACACAGGUUAAUAACCCGUAGCGGAUGACGGUACCGAAAGAAGAAGACACCGGCUAACUACGUAGCCAGCAG